ACGGGAGGCAGCAGUGGGGAAUAUUGCACAAUGGGGGAAACCCUGAUGCAGCGACGCCGCGUGAGUGAAGAAGUUAUUCGUAAUGUAAAGCUCUAUCAGCAGGGAAGAAAAUGACGGUACCUGACUAAGAAGCCCCGGCUAACUACGUGCCAGCAGCCGCGGUAAUACGUAGGGGGCAAGCGUUAUCCGGAUUUACUGGGUGUAAAGGGAGCGUAGACGGCUUAGCAAGUCUGAUGUGAAAGGCAGGGGCUCAACUCCUGGACUGCAUUGGAAACUGUUAAGCUAGAGUGCCGGAGAGGUAAGCGGAAUUCCUAGUGUAGCGGUGAAAUGCGUAGAUAUCAGGAGGAACACCGGUGGCGAAGGCGGCCUGCUGGACUGUAACUGACGCUGAGGCUCGAAGGCGUGGGGAGCAAACAGGAUUAGAUACCCUGGUA
rnacentral:rRNA from 1 species